rnacentral:rRNA from 1 species
AUGCCAAAGGAAAAUAUUGGGCCAGUUGAAAUUCUAAAGUUUUUGAAGCGGCAUGAUUGUUUCCCCAAUGCAUGUAUUGCAUAUAGAGUUCUGUUGACUAUCCCUGUGACUGUUGCUUCGGCAGAACGGAGCUUUUCUAAAUUGAAGCUAUUGAAGUCCUAUAUGUGCACUACCAUGACCCAACAAAGGCUCACCGAUUUGGCCACAAUAGCACUGGAGAGUAAUCUAUUGGACAAGAUUGAUUAUGAUGAUAUUAUUGAGGAUUUUAUUACAAAGAACACAAAAGAAUGA